rnacentral:rRNA from 1 species
UACGUAGGGAGCAAGCGUUGUCCGGAAUCAUUGGGCGUAAAGCGCGCGUAGGUGGCCUCAUAAGUCCGCUGUGAAAGUCCAAGGCUCAACCUUUGAAUGCCGGUGGAUACUGUCGGGCUAGAGUCCGGAAGAGGCGAGUGGAAUUCCUGGUGUAGCGGUGGAAUGCGCAGAUAUCAGGAGGAACACCAAUAGCGAAGGCAGCUCGCUGGGACGGUACUGACGCUAAGGCGCGAAAGCGUGGGGAGCGAACAGG